rnacentral:rRNA from 1 species
GAUGAACGCUGGCGGCGUGCCUAAUACAUGCAAGUCGAGCGAACGGACGAGGAGCUUGCUCCUCUGAUGUUAGCGGCGGACGGGUGAGUAACACGUGGAUAACCUACCUAUAAGACUGGGAUAACUUCGGGAAACCGGAGCUAAUACCGGAUAAUAUAUUGAACCGCAUGGUUCAAUAGUGAAAGACGGUUUUGCUGUCACUUAUAGAUGGAUCCGCGCUGCAUUAGCUAGUUGGUAAGGUAACGGCUUACCAAGGCAACGAUGCAUAGCCGACCUGAGAGGAUGAUCGGCAGCUCGGAUGCGAGGCUGCGGAGCCACCUCGGGCGGGAGACACGGUAGGGAAUCCUACGGGAGGGGGCAGAGGCGAACCGUGCGAACUCGGCGUAAGGAUGAAGGGGCUACGACUCGUAAAUGAUGAUGGUAGGGGAAUAGUAAAGUUCUAUGAACGGGGAAGAUAAUGACGGUACCCUAAGAAGAAGCCCCGGCUAACUUCGUG